rnacentral:rRNA from 1 species
AUGCCCGCCUGCAUCCCUAGGCUCACGUAUCGGGCUGAUACAGAUUCGCUAGGCAACUACUUUGCUGGGUUGGAAAGCUGGGGAGAUCCCACUCCUAGACCAUCGCCCUUUACUCUGAAGGAGCUGGGUGAUGCCUGGGUUGCUGCUGCAAAGCGCCAGCUCAUUCACAGGCCCAAGUCACCGACCUGUGAGGAGCGGCUAAGGCGCCUGCGAGAGCAUGAUCGGAAGAGUUUGAUGAUAGCAUUGGGUGUCUAUGCUGAACAAAACAAUAUGCAACCUGCUGACCUUGAACUGAUAGAAGUGAAGGAAAGAAAUCUAGUCGACGAGGAGGGAAAGGGUUAUGUGCAUUUCAAUUUUCUUGUGAAAAUGCAACAUAACCCAUCUAGUUUGUUCUUUGCGGAGGUGCAUCCGGACUGUAGAGAGGGGGAGGAUGUGUAUCUUUGCACUCCUCUGGAAGCUAAUGACUCGGGUGACUGUUAUGGGUGCAAGGACCGUGCAAAGGAGCUUAUGCAUCCCAAUAGCGGUGGCUACUUGGGGGGGCAUAUGGAUGUUGUUUUCCCCUUUAUUUAUGUAAGUGGUGAAGAAAGUGAAGAUGAGGCCUGA